AACUGUGGUCUCUCAUCUGAUCUUGGAAGUGAAGCAGGGUUGGGCCUGGUUAGUACUUGGAUGGGAGACUGCCCAGGAAUACUAGGUGCUGUAGGCU
ensembl:rRNA 5S_rRNA 5S ribosomal RNA